rnacentral:rRNA from 1 species
AACGAACGCUGGCGGCAUGCCUAACACAUGCAAGUCGAACGAGACCUUCGGGUCUAGUGGCGCACGGGUGCGUAACGCGUGGGAACCUGCCCUUAGGUUCGGAAUAACUCCCCGAAAGGGGUGCUAAUACCGGAUAAUGUCUUCGGACCAAAGAUUUAUCGCCUUUGGAUGGGCCCGCGUUGGAUUAGCUGGUUGGUAGGGUAAAAGCCUACCAAGGCGACGAUCCAUAGCUGGUCUGUGAGGAUGAUCAGCAACACUGGGACUGAGACACGGCCGAGAAUCCUACGGGAGGCAGCAGUGGGGAAUAUUGGAAAAUGGGCGAAAGGCUGAUCCAGCACUGCCGGGUGAGUGAUGAAGGCCUUAGGGUUGUAAAGCUCUUUUACCCGGGAUGAUAAUGACAGUACCGGGAGAAUAAGCUCCGGCUAACUCCGUG